ACCUAAUGAUGUGGACAUUUACAAAGGAGGCCCCUAAAUCACUCCCAGGUCUCAAAGAAAAGUUCCCCAUCCGUCUGUGUGAUACUUAUGAUUGCCCUUCAUAGCU